rnacentral:rRNA from 1 species
UACAGAGGUCUCAAGCGUUGUUCGGAUUCAUUGGGCGUAAAGGGUGCGUAGGUGGCGCUGUAAGUCGGGUGUGAAAUUUCGGAGCUUAACUCCGAAACUGCAUUCGAUACUGCGGUGCUUGAGGACUGGAGAGGAGACUGGAAUUCAUGGUGUAGCAGUGAAAUGCGUAGAUAUGUGGAGGAAUACCGAUGGCGAAGGCAGCCCCCUGGGAUAACACUGACGCUCAUGCACGAAAGCGUGGGGAGCAAACAGG